AAACGUUAUCCAAAUCACAAGGGAGCUUCAACCAAACACAUAAGAAACAUUGUCCAAAUCACUUUCAGCCAAGAUUUUCUUGGGGAUGGAAACGUUAUCCAAGAGUUUUUCUUCGGCCAAGAAACGUUACCCAAGAGUUUCUUAUCCAAAUCACAUAAGAAACGUCAUUUGGGGGAUGGAAAGGUUUCGGCCAAGAUUUUUUUUGAGCAACGUGAUUGCGUUGAGCUUUUCAUACGACUUGUUCAAUGUUUUAUCGCAAUUAACGUUUGUUAGAGGGAUUGUCAAGAGAAUCGGCUCAGGUCUCGAUAGACAGGUCAAGAGUCCUCCAACUAGGUUAUCAGCUCAGCGGAAGAUGUUGGUGCGCUCCAUUUGCUUCGGAUUUGCUUGUUUGGCCAGUAUGAUUUAGAUGCGUAUUGCUUGGUAUGGUGGGGCCCUGUUCCGACCUUUAUGAUAAGUGUGUACUCUUAGAGGCUUGUAGACAGAUGUCAUGGAUACGGAUGCUUGUAUGGCCGUGUCGGCCUAUGUUUCGAGUUUACAAAUGAUCAUAUUGGCUUUA